AUUAACUUAAGAGGUCGCAACCGACAAGAUUAGGUGGUGGAGUUCACACAGAACUUUGAAGCUAUCGAAAGGGGAAGUUGCCGAAGCGGUUAUUCGUGUAAAUAACUUAGCUGGGACGCUGCUCAAUAAGCAACGGACUGUCACAACGUUCACUCGUUGUGGGGCGCUUAACGAAUA
rnacentral:ncRNA from 1 species